CCUACGGGGGGCAGCAGUGAGGAAUAUUGGUCAAUGGACGAGAGUCUGAACCAGCCAAGUAGCGUGAAGGAUGACUGCCCUAUGGGUUGUAAACUUCUUUUAUAUGGGAAUAAAACGUUCCACGUGUGGGAUUUUGUAUGUACCAUAUGAAUAAGGAUCGGCUAACUCCGUGCCAGCAGCCGCGGUAAUACGGAGGAUCCGAGCGUUAUCCGGAUUUAUUGGGUUUAAAGGGAUCGUAGGUGGAUUGUUAAGUCAGUUGUGAAAGUUUGCGGCUCAACCGUAAAAUUGCAGUUGAAACUGGCAGUCUUGAGUACAGUAGAGGUGGGCGGAAUUCGUGGUGUAGCGGUGAAAUGCUUAGAUAUCACGAAGAACUCCGAUUGCGAAGGCAGUUCACUGGACUGCAACUGACACUGAGGCUCGAAAGUGUGGGUAUCAAACAGGAUUAGAUACCCCAGUAGUC
rnacentral:rRNA from 1 species